AGAGUUUGAUCCUGGCUCAGGAUGAACGCUGGCGGCGUGCCUAACACAUGCAAGUCGAACGAAGCGCUUGUAUUUGAUUCUUCGGAUGAAGAUACUUGUGACUGAGUGGCGGACGGGUGAGUAACGCGUGGGUAACCUGCCUCAUACAGGGGGAUAACAGUUAGAAAUGGCUGCUAAUACCGCAUAAGCACACAGCAUCGCAUGAUGCGGUGUGAAAAAACUCCGGUGGUAUGAGAUGGACCCGCGUCUGAUUAGCUAGUUGGUGGGGUAACGGCCUACCAAGGCGACGAUCAGUAGCCGACCUGAGAGGGUGACCGGCCACAUUGGGACUGAGACACGGCCCAAACUCCUACGGGAGGCAGCAGUGGGGAAUAUUGCACAAUGGGGGAAACCCUGAUGCAGCGACGCCGCGUGAGCGAAGAAGUAUUUCGGUAUGUAAAGCUCUAUCAGCAGGGAAGAAAAUGACGGUACCUGACUAAGAAGCCCCGGCUAACUACGUGCCAGCAGCCGCGGUAAUACGUAGGGGGCAAGCGUUAUCCGGAUUUACUGGGUGUAAAGGGAGCGUAGACGGAUGUGCAAGUCUGAAGUGAAAGCCCGGGGCUCAACCCCGGGACUGCUUUGGAAACUGUGUAUCUAGAGUGCCGGAGAGGUAAGCGGAAUUCCCAGUGUAGCGGUGAAAUGCGUAGAUAUUGGGAGGAACACCAGUGGCGAAGGCGGCUUACUGGACGGUAACUGACGUUGAGGCUCGAAAGCGUGGGGAGCAAACAGGAUUAGAUACCCUGGUAGUCCACGCCGUAAAC
rnacentral:rRNA from 1 species